AACGAACGCUGGCGGCAGGCUUAACACAUGCAAGUCGAACGGGUGUAGCAAUACAUCAGUGGCAGACGGGUGAGUAACACGUGGGAAACCUUCCUAGGGGUACGGAACAACUCAGGGAAACUUGAGCUAAUACCGUAUACGUCCGUGAGGAGAAAGAUUUAUCGCCCUUAGACGGGCCCGCGUCGGAUUAGCUAGUUGGUGGGGUAACGGCCUACCAAGGCGACGAUCCGUAGCUGAUCUUAGAGGAUGAUCAGCCACACUGGGACUGAGACACGGCCCAGACUCCUACGGGAGGCAGUAGUGGGGAAUCUUGGACAAUGGGCGCAAGCCUGAUCCAGCCAUGCCGCGUGAGUGAAGAAGGUCUUCGGAUUGUAAAGCUCUUUUGCCAGGGACGAUAAUGACGGUACCUGGAGAAUAAGCCCCGGCAAACUUCGUGCCAGCCGCCGCAGUAA
rnacentral:rRNA from 1 species